UGGGGAAUAUUGGACAAUGGGCGAAAGCCUGAUCCAGCAAUGCCGCGUGUGUGAAGAAGGCUCUAGGGUUGUAAAGCACUUUCAGUGGGGAAGAAAUUCGAAGGGUUAAUACCUCUUCGCGAUGACGUUACCCACAGAAGAAGCACCGGCUAACUCCGUGCCAGCAGCCGCGGUAAUACGGAGGGUGCGAGCGUUAAUCGGAAUUACUGGGCGUAAAGGGCGCGUAGGCGGUUUGGUAAGUCGGGUGUGAAAGCCCCGAGCUCAACUCGGGAACUGCAUUCGAAACUGCCUGGCUAGAGUGUGGUAGAGGGAAGCGGAAUUCCAGGUGUAGCGGUGAAAUGCGUAGAUAUCUGGAGGAACAUCAGUGGCGAAGGCGGCUUCCUGGACCAACACUGACGCUGAGGCGCGAAAGCGUGGGGAGCAAACAGGAUUAGAUACCCCCGUAGUCC
rnacentral:rRNA from 1 species